AGUGAACGCUGGCGGUAGGCCUAACACAUGCAAGUCGAACGGCAGCACAGUAAGAGCUUGCUCUUACGGGUGGCGAGUGGCGGACGGGUGAGGAAUACAUCGGAAUCUACUUUUUCGUGGGGGAUAACGUAGGGAAACUUACGCUAAUACCGCAUACGACCUACGGGUGAAAGCAGGGGAUCUUCGGACCUUGCGCGAUUGAAUGAGCCGAUGUCGGAUUAGCUAGUUGGCGGGGUAAAGGCCCACCAAGGCGACGAUCCGUAGCUGGUCUGAGAGGAUGUACAGCCACACUGGAACUGAGACACGGUCCAGACUCCUACGGGAGGCAGCAGUGGGGAAUAUUGGACAAUGGGCGCAAGCCUGAUCCAGCCAUACCGCGUGGGUGAAGAAGGCCUUCGUGUUGUAAAGCCCUUUUGUUGUGAAAGAAAAGCAGCAGGUUAAUACCCCGCUGUUCUGACGGUACCCAAAGAAUAAGCACCGGCUAACUUCGUG
rnacentral:rRNA from 1 species